GCCGAUGUAGCUCAGCUGGUAGAGCGGCAGUAUCGUAAACUGUAGGUCUCGGGUUCGAUCCCCGACAUCGGCUCCA
rnacentral:tRNA from 1 species